rnacentral:rRNA from 1 species
UACGUAGGGGGCAAGCGUUGUCCGGAUUUAUUGGGCGUAAAGAGCGUGUAGGCGGCCAGGUAGGUCGGUUGUGAAAACUGGAGGCUCAACCUUCAGACGUCGACCGAAACCCCCGGGCUAGAGUCCGGAAGAGGAGAGUGGAAUUCCUGGUGUAGCGGUGAAAUGCGUAGAUAUCAGGAAGAACACCCGUGGCGAAGGCGGCUCUCUGGAACGGUACUGACGCUGAGACGCGAAAGCAUGGGGAGCAAACAGG